rnacentral:rRNA from 1 species
CCUACGUGUGACAGCAGUGAGGAACAUUGGUCAAUGGUCGGGAGACCGAACCAGCCAAGCCGCGUGAGGGAUGAAGGUACAGAGUAUCGUAAACCUCUUUUGUCAGGGAACAAAGGCGGGGACGUGUCCCCGGAUGAGUGUACCUGAAGAAAAAGCAUCGGCUAACUCCGUGCCAGCAGCCGCGGUAAUACGGGGGAUGCGAGCGUUAUCCGGAUUUAUUGGGUUUAAAGGGGUCGCAGGCUGUCUUUUAAAUCAGCGGUCAAAGCCCGGGGCUCAACCCCGGCCCGCCGUUGAAACUGGCAGUCUCGAGUUGGAGAGAAGUAUGCGGAAUGCGCGGGGUAGCGGUGAAAUGCAUAG